rnacentral:lncRNA from 10 species
AUUAUUUAAGGAAUGUCCUUCCAGUCUGCAGGCAGAUAGGCUCUCCAAGGAGAUUUUGGCAGGGGUGAAAUGACUGGCAUUUUGACCUGAGCGAAAUUUCUGAAUUUCCGAGCUGUGAUAGACACUGGAGCUUCUGGCUCUUGGGACUCUAGCAGAACCCCACCUGCUCACCCGCAGGCCUCAGGCCUUCAGAUUAGGACUGAAUUCCACCACUGGCUUUCCGGGUUCUCCAGCUUGCAGAUGGCAGAUGAUGAGACUUCUCAGCCUCCAUAAUCAUGUGAGCCAAUUCCCAUAAUAAAUCUCUCUCUCUCUAUCUCUGUCUUACUCUCUCUUGAUUCUGUUUCUCUGAAGAACCCUAACUAAUACAGAUACCUUCAUUUUACAAAUGAAUAAAGUGCAGUGCCAGAGAAGUUCUGUGAAUUGUCUAGGGUCAUACACUCCUUCAUUUAUUUAAUUGUGCAUUAAGUCAACUAGUAUUCUAGGUACCAAGGAAGUCAACAUACUAGACCACAUUGCCUGUCUUCAAGAAAGUUAUGUUUUGGUUAG